rnacentral:rRNA from 1 species
UACGUAGGGUGCAAGCGUUGUCCGGAAUUAUUGGGCGUAAAGAGCUCGUAGGCGGUUUGUCGCGUCUGCUGUGAAAUCUGGGGGCUCAACCCCCAGCCUGCAGUGGGUACGGGCAGACUAGAGUGCGGUAGGGGAGACUGGAAUUCCUGGUGUAGCGGUGAAAUGCGCAGAUAUCAGGAGGAACACCGGUGGCGAAGGCGGGUCUCUGGGCCGUAACCGACGCUGAGGAGCGAAAGCAUGGGGAGCGAACAGG